GGGUUGUGAGGUUAAGCGACUAAGCGUACACGGUGGAUGCCCUGGCAGUCAGAGGCGAUGAAGGGCGUGCUAAUCUGCGAUAAGCGCCGGUAAGGUG
rnacentral:rRNA from 5 species